rnacentral:rRNA from 1 species
UCCAGACUCCUACGGGAGGCAGCAGUGGGGAAUAUUGCACAAUGGGGGGAACCCUGAUGCAGCGACGCCGCGUGGGUGAAGAAGUCAUUCGUGACGUAAAGCCCUAUCAGCAGGGAAGAAAAUGACGGUACCUGACUAAGAAGCCCCGGCUAACUACGUGCCAGCAGCCGCGGUAAUACGUAGGGGGCGAGCGUUAUCCGGAUUCACUGGGUGUAAAGGGAGCGUAGACGGCCAAGCAAGCCAGGGGUGAAAGCCCGGGGCCCAACCCCGGGACUGCCCUUGGAACUGCAUGGCUGGAGUGCGGGAGGGGCAGGCGGAAUUCCUGGUGUAGCGGUGAAAUGCGUAGAUAUCAGGAGGAACACCGGUGGCGAAGGCGGCCUGCUGGACUGCGACUGACGUUGAGGCCCGAAAGCGUGGGGAGCAAACAGGAUUAGAUACCCGAGUA